UACGUAGGGUGCGAGCGUUGUCCGGAAUUAUUGGGCGUAAAGAGCUUGUAGGCGGUUUGUCGCGUCUGCCGUGAAAGUCCGGGGCUCAACUCCGGAUCUGCGGUGGGUACGGGGCAGACUAGAGUGAUGUAGGGGGAGACUGGAAUUCCUGGUGUAGCGGUGAAAUGCGCAGAUAUCAGGAGGAACACCGGUGGCGAAGGCGGUUCUCUGGGCAUGUCCUGACGGCUGAGGAGCGAAAGUGUAGGGGGAGCGAACAGG
rnacentral:rRNA from 1 species